UAACAAGGUCUCCGUUGGUGAACCAGCGGAGGGAUCAUUACUGAGUUUACGCUCUAUAACCCUUUGUGAACAUACCUAUAACUGUUGCUUCGGCGGGUAGGGUCUCCGCGACCCUCCCGGCCUCCCGCCUCCGGGCGGGUCGGCGCCCGCCGGAGGAUAACCAAACUCUGAUUUAACGACGUUUCUUCUGAGUGGUACAAGCAAAUAAUCAAAACUUUUAACAACGGAUCUCUUGGUUCUGGCAUCGAUGAAGAACGCAGCGAAAUGCGAUAAGUAAUGUGAAUUGCAGAAUUCAGUGAAUCAUCGAAUCUUUGAACGCACAUUGCGCCCGCCAGCAUUCUGGCGGGCAUGCCUGUUCGAGCGUCAUUUCAACCCUCAAGCUCUGCUUGGUGUUGGGGCCCUACAGCUGAUGUAGGCCCUCAAAGGUAGUGGCGGACCCUCCCGGAGCCUCCUUUGCGUAGUAACUUUACGUCUCGCACUGGGAUCCGGAGGGACUCUUGCCGUAAAACCCCCCAAUUUUCCAAAGGUUGACCUCGGAUCAGGUAGGAAUACCCGCUGAACUUAAGCAUAUCAAU
rnacentral:rRNA from 1 species